UUUUGGCACGUCUGGGCACCCUUCUUUACGUUUUUAUAUGUUGACAGCUGAGUGUCGUGAAAGCAAAACAACAAUAAUCCACCAGAUUCAGAUUCAAUCAUACCGAAUAAUAUUUAUAAAAAUACCGGAACUGCAGUGCUUCCAUCGUGUUGGUCAACCACCUUCUCGGAUACUCGAGAACCUUUGAAACACAUCCCAGCAAUUACGUGCGGCGGAUGAUCUAACUAGCAUCAGUUUGAAGGCCAUAAUCAAUCUUGCGCUCAUUGCGCUUCCAGCAGCUUUAGCAGGCAGAAUACCAGCGGAUCGACGGAAAAGGAGCUGAACAUUGACGAGGAUCAGCUGUCGGAUUCGAAGUGCAGCGCUCCUACUAAGCCAAGAGGUAAUUAAACCUCAGAUCAGACACCGCCCGCCAGUGCUGAAGUUCAAAAAGAAAGUGUCUAUACCAAUAGGAAUAACAUCGAGGAAAUUGAGCAAAUAAUCACUAUGAAGGCAUCUUCCUUUAUUCGACUCCAUUCCUUCGAAUUACAAAAUAUUCGGCCAAGUGGAGGACAGCAGAUGGUACCAGAGAAUCCAAGCGUGACUUCCAGGAGAACUACGACUCGGCGGAAGAAUUUGGUUUUGAACGAGAUGCUGUUCUGCGUUUGCUGCUGCCAAUCAUACCAUCCGUAUUGAACACUCGACAGGUGUCGUUAGUCUACUGAAAUGGACCUGCAUCGCGAUGAUCCGCACCGCGUUCUCGAAAACAAAACGUUGGAUCGGUCCGAUUGGAUGUGCCCAAGGUGUACCAUGUGAUAUACAUAAUAAUAGCGCUAUCAACGGAAGCGGUUUACUCAGACCAAGGACGAAAAGCAGGGAUUACCGACAGCAGUUACAGCCAUACCACGCUCAGUUUCGGAAUGUUCGAAAACCACAAUUCCUUUUGUCAGAAAACCGAACCUGUAUUUGGACGUUCACGCACCAGGUUAACAUCAGCCCGCUGAAUAUAAUUCCACAAAUUAUGUAUAUCUAGAAAAAGCACAGAUCCAGA